AUUGAACGCUCGCGGCAGGCCUAACACAUGCAAGUCGAGCGGAUGAACGGAGCUUGCUCCUGGAUUCAGCGGCCGACGGGUGAGCAAUGCCUAGGAAUCUGCCUGGUAAUGUGUGAUAACGUCCGGACACGGGCGCUAAUACCGCAUACGUCCUGAGUGCGAAAGUGUGGAACCUUCGGACCUCACGCUAUCAGAUGAGCCGACGUCGCUUUAGCUAGUUGGUGGGGUAAAGGCCUACCAGGGCGACGAGCCGUAACUGUUCUGGGAGGAUGAGCAGUCACCCUGGAACGGAGACACGGUUCGGACUACUACGGCAGGCAGCAGUGGGGAAUAGUGGACAGUGGGCGAAAACCUGAUCCAGGCAUGCCGCGUGUGUGAAGAAGGUCUCCGGAUUGUAAAGCACUUUAAGCUGGGACGAAGGGCAGUAAGUUAAUAUCUCGCUGUUCUGACGUUCCCAACAGAAUAAGCACGCGCUAACCUCGUG
rnacentral:rRNA from 1 species